GACGAACGCUGGCGGCGCGCUUAACACAUGCAAGUCGAACGGAAAGGCCUGCUUUCCCUUGUGGAUUGCGGGUACUCGAGUGGCGAACGGGUGAGUAACACGUGAGUGAUCUGCCCCCAACUUGGGUAUAAGCCUGGGAAACUGGGUCUAAUUCCCGAUAGGACUGCAGGGUGGUGCCUGUGGUGGAAAACGAUUUUCUAGUGGUUGGGGAUGAGCUCGCGGCCUAUCAGCUUGUUGGUGGGGUAAUGGCCUACCAAGGCGGCGACGGGUAGCCGGCCUGAGAGGGUGGACGGCCACAUUGGGACUGAGCUACGGCCCAGACUCCUACGGGAGGCAGCAGUGGGGAAGAUUGCACAAUGGGCGGAAGCCUGAUGCAGCGACGCCGCGUGGGGGAUGACGGCCUUCGGGUUGUAAACUCCUUUCGACCGCGAGGAAGCCACCUGGUUGGAAGGGUGGUGACGGUAGUGGUAGAAGAAGCACCGGCUAACUACGUG
rnacentral:rRNA from 1 species